rnacentral:piRNA from 2 species
UAUUGUCAUAGAUCCUAACUGGAAGGAAGA